rnacentral:rRNA from 1 species
AAACCAACAGGGAUUGCCUUAGUAACUGCGAGUGAAGCGGCAAAAGCUCAAAUUUGAAAGCUUCGGCAUUGUAAUUUGAAGAUUUGGCAUUGGAAUAAAGCUAACCCAAGUUGCUUGGAACAGCACGUCAUAGAGGGUGACAACCCCGUAUGGCUAACCGUUAUUCUAUGUAUUGCCUUAUCUAAGAGUCGAGUUGUUUGGGAAUGCAGCUCUAAGUGGGUGGUAAACUCCAUCUAAAGCUAAAUAUUGGCGAGAGACCGAUAGCGAACAAGUACUGUGAAGGAAAGAUGAAAAGAACUUUGAAAAGAGAGUGAAAAAGUAUGUGAAAUUGUUGAAAGGGAAGGGAAAAAUUGGAGGCAUGCCUUAGGGUUCACUUCUGUUUCGGCAGGAGGUACUCCCGACGGCGGGUCAUCCAGGGGGAUUACCGCAGGAUAAACGGUUAGGAAUUGCUUGCAAGGCCUUGCCACCUACUGCGCGUAGCUCCUUUGGCUGGCGUAAUCCAAUUUCUCCACCCGUCUUGAAACAACGGACCA